GGGGUUCCGACUCCGAUUAAUAUGGAUAAGUUGCAUCGCAUCAUGUUUGCCAUGUCAUGCAUAUCAUAUCAUGAUCAUGCCGAUUCUUUUGCCGUAGUAGUAAGAUUUGCAUCCGUUGUUUGUCCAGCAUUUGCUUCUUCCCGGAUAGGAUCGCGAAGUGGUGAUGUGAGAUACGACGAGUUCUCCGACAAGUUCUUCUGCAGCUUUUCACAGGUACGAGAUGACGACGUUAGCAAGGUUACCCUUCCGGCUUGGCCUGGGUAGGGUUAUGGACGUCACUGGUUAUCUUCAGGACUCUUAGUCCGAUUUGUAUCUUGUCCGUACUCGGACGUAUUUGAUCUUUUGUAUGAUUUGGAUCUUUGUAUUGUAUAUUUGUAUCUUGACUCGUCGGAGUCGUUGUUGUAAUAUAUGUUCCUUGUGGGCUCUAUUGUAAUCCUGUUGUAAUGUUA